ensembl:snRNA Gm25629 predicted gene, 25629
GUGCUCACUUCAGAACCACAUAUACUAAAAUUAGAAUGAUUCAUCGAAGAUUAGCAUGGCCCCUGCCCACGGAUGACAUACAAAUUUAUGAAGUAUUCCAUAUUUUU